AGCUGCUUCCCACAACCACGACAUAAAUAAAAGCUGAUUGCAACAGAAGCAGAGUGUGAAGAUUCCCUUCGUUGCAGGAAACGAGCUCAGAGUGAUAAACGCCGGUGCUGCUAGCUCAUCUGACAUCCCUCGCACUGCUAAUUGCCUCCUCUCUGGGGAAGCAGCAGCAUCCACAUUAUCAUGCCUGGGUGUCACGAAAGCACAGAGAAGCCAACAGGUUUUGCUGCGAACCUUUACUGUAAGUAUUAAAGACUAACCUCUGUUCCAAAGAAUGAACUACUGCAAAACACAGAAAGCCUCGUUAGCACUGAAAUCAAAUGCCAGGCUUGAGCCUGAGAGUAGACUUGACUCAUACACAGAUCUGUUGACUCUUAAUACAGCAGAACACUUGACAAAUACCUCCAAGCAGCCCUGUGGCCGUGCCCUGCUCUGUAGGUUAGGGGACAUUGUGCCCCAAAGUCACACCAGCACAUGGGAUUUCACUGUAAGUUACAACAGCUCUGAACUCCAUCCUUGCAAACAACCAGGCAUUUCCCAUUGAUUUUGCUAUCCCUUCCCCCAGUAAGAGGACAUAAUGCCAAGAGUCUACGACUAUCUGUCAUAAUGGCAACAGCAGGACAGUUCAUCUGGGAGAAUCCUGGUUUGAAAGACAGAUCAAUGGGCUGGCAUUCAGUUGAAGUGGUUUGUUGUCCCCAUUGUUUCUUUGUUUUGUAUUUUGUUUUAAGGAAUUCUCUUUCCUCUUUUGGAAAAAGCUUGUUUUUUUCCAGGUUCAGGCUACUUCCAUGUUACUUUUCUACAAAUAGGCUUCUAAACAACUUUACUGGCAGGAAUAUAUUCAGAAAUAGCACUCUGGGCGAACCUUGCAGUCACAGAAAAUAGACUUAUCAUUGUGCAAUAAUGAAUUUCUACAACUUUGGGGGAAAAAAAAACCCACACAAGAAAAAUCACACAGUUCUCCUGCAAAAACAGACUGUGUUCUAUCCAGUGCUGCGUCUGGUCUGUUGGCCUGCUAACCAGAUGCAGGAAAUACUACUACUUCAGUAAUAAUGGUACUUAUUGAAAAAGGCAUCAAUCUCAAAACAAAUCAUCCCACUCCAUCCAAUUCGUUUUCUGGGAAGAGCAGAGGAAUAACGUAACGGAUACCAAUGACUUGGUGUAGGACAAUUCUGCAAGAUAUUCAGAUAUAGAUGGGCAACGGGUGAAUUAAAAAGCUACCCGUGUGAUAAGAAGCUGAAGGAAAGCCUAUUGUUACAGUCUGACAAUGAGCAGCUCACAGAUGUUUCUUCCUAACUCUGGAUUGUAUUCUUAAGGCACGGGCCAACUACUAGGGAUUUUAAUGACUUCCUAUUUUCAGUAGCACAAAACAUUCACAGGUCACACUUGUUUCAGUCAGAAAAUGGAAGCAUAUUGAGUGGCUUAAUGCAUUCAGGCCAGCUAAUCAACACAUCGGCACAACGAAGGUUUUGAAUCUCAAAUACCUUCCUCGGAGCUGCUCACGGACUGAAAAAUUCAUAAAUCAGAAACGAGUAAUGGCUGCAUUCAGCAAAUAAUUUCAGACAGCAGAUACAGUUGAGAAGCACUCCGUCUGUCUGUAGGAAGAUCAGAAAUGAUGCGACAUGACUUCGGCUGUCCUCCGGGGAAUGAUUUGCGCUCAUGGGAGACCCCAGUUGUUCGUCUCCCAAGACAUCAGCCCUGAGCAGCUGUGUAAGCCUGGGUCCAAUCCAGGACGUGCUCUUAGCAGUCGUAGCAGUUGCCCUACAGAAACGCACUUGAGAAAAGGCAAAAUAGCAUGAAGACACAGAGGGGUGAGGAAAGUGUGUGGAACAGGCCUGCAAACAGUGAGGAGAGGAGAAGGCUGCAGGUGCAAGAGCACAGAUUGCCCUGCAUCCUCUCGGGAAGGAACCACAAUGGAGCAGGGAGGAAAGAGUGAGGAGGCAGAAGCAGCAGAGAGGAGCGAUUAUGGACCCACCACAACACCCCCCUUGGCAUCCCAUGACACUUCAGCGAGCCCCCAGCGCAGGACUGACCCAUAAACACGAGGCAGCUCUGCCUCCCAAGCACAUGUCAGAAUCAACUUGCUUUCUUCCCUGCACCGGUCCAAUUCAAAUGAAAAGAACCUGCCUCUCACUGCUGGCACAUCAGCCCCAGCCAGCAGAGCAGUUCAGUGCCAGGUACAGGCUUUACUGUCAGAUGCUCUCUGGUUAGCUGAGCUCUGUUUUGCUGACUUCUUGCUGCUGCUGCUGCUGUUUUGUUCAUGGCUUUGCUGCACUGAGUUCUGCUGGUCUCCCAAGGAAGUAACUCACACUGCAGUCGGUGAAUGCCACGGACAAAGCGUUUUCACUGGAGUCCAAUGUCUUCUCUAGCAUUUAUCACUUCAAUAGCCUAAUGAAGGUGAGAUGUAAUUACAAAGACAACAACUGGGCUAUAGAGUUUGUUUUGCAAUUAUCUAUACAGCGGGUAACCACUGACACAGAACAGUGCCUUCUCCAAAGCUGGCAAGACGUGGCAUAAAUGUUCAUCAUUGGAUGACUUGAAGUGACCCUACGCCGCGCUCUGUAAUUGCUGCCUUUCUUCCUAAGCACUUGAAAGCAAACACAAAACGAUUGAGCUCGUCCCAAGGCAGCUUUUCCAACCAAUGGAGAUGGUUUAUAUCAAUGCAACUAAGCCCAUAUAACUGUCACCUUAAUAUCUUUCCCACUUGCACGGUGAUCAGCAGUGAUUUCGCUUGAGUGAUUUUUGUCCGUGUAAGCAACCUCAAAUGAAUGUAACAAUAAUAAGAACUCCCAGCAGAGCAAUUGCUAUUGCAAAAAAAAAAUAAUAAUACUAAAAAUCUCUAGAAGCGCACACAGGGCACUUCUGAUUACACACACACACAAAGAAAAGCAAAGGGACUGGGAAUUAAAAGCCAUUUCAGAAGUUUCAUUUCUUCCUCUCAUACUCAAAAUCAGCAUUUGUAUUUAGGGUAAAGUGAUUUUAGGCAGUUGCCAGGAUGGCUGACCCUUAUUUAAGGCCGAAUGUCUGAAGGCACAAAGAACACUGCUACCAGAUAACGACCUCCUGCUGCUAAAUAUAUACCAUGGUUUAUUGCUUGAUAGACAUCAUGCAGUAAUGAUAGCUAAUGGUGCUGCUAAAAGACAGCUUAAUGCUGAGUAGGAGAGCAGGUUCAUUCAGAAGCCUCCUGAGCCCAAGCACCACAAUACAAAGCAUGACUUUCUCUUAAAGAUCCAAGCUUGUUUCCAGGUUUUAAUUUGUUUAGUCCCUGACAGCUAGCUAGACUAGCAAUUACUUCAGAGAAACAAGCCCUUUCUUCAGCAGGAUGAAAGCAUGGACUUCAGUAUCUGGCUAAUAUCAUGAGUGUACUCCAGUCCAGGUAGCUUUCAAUAACCUGUUGCACUUGCAUCUUUCUGACGUAUCCUAAGAUGGGUUUUAGCUUAGUGCAGAAGACUGACAAGAGGCAAUACUGAAAACUGUAGCUCAGAAAGUCAGAAACCAUGAAGAUGUAGUCUGCAUACAUAACAGUUUAACAGUUUGGGCUUUGCUCAGGCUUGCUGUAAAGUAAAACUAAAGGAUCUUGUGCCUGAAUGAAUGAGAUGCUUCCCAGGUUUUUACAAAGCUGAGGCCAGCACCCAUAACUAGACCAGUACGUUCAGCUUCCCACUACAGAUGCAGCACUUUGAUGAGUUUCACCACUUCCAGGUGAGACUUACUGACAUCUCAUGAGUGGAUAUGGUGACAUCUGAAUUCAGACUACGAAGCUCUUUAGAUUUCAGGUUUGGAGACCCAAUUCUGGCUUCCCUGUACUUUGGGUAGGACUUCCAACUGCAUGAAGAGGACAUGAACAAGGAACAUUUCCCUUGCAGGGUUUUAGGUGCCCUCAAAGAGAAUAGGUAACAGCUCAGGUUCUCUCUUUCUCUAGUUAACUGAACACAGUUAUUUGUUAUCCUCUAAUCUUCCUGCUUAUACUUACUCUGGAAUAGACAGUGGGACCUGCCGUUUGGAGAUAGCAUGUUUUAUUUCCUAUACAGACAUCUCAUAAGAGAAGCAGCAUAGAUUGCCCCUGCAGUUGAGAGCCUGGCUGCAGAAGUGAGAGGUUGCUGUAAUGCUGUACGAUGACAGUGAUGGCUCAGAGAAAGCAAUGCUGUUAAUUGCAGCAAUUAAACAGUUAUGAUAUAAUUAAUGUAAAAAUCAUGCAUGGCUAAAACCAAAGGUAUUUUCAAUUCCUGUUGAGGUGAUAUCAAAUCUGCUGUUAUGACGUGAUGGUGGAUAAUGGCUAUGGGGAAUCCAGGGAACAGUGAUGGGCUGUUGAGUGAUAGAACAGCCUAAUGGGAAUGGCAAGGAAACAGAAACGGACUUUAACAGGACAAAUUGAGCACUACAAAUGAAGAAACCCAAAAGAAGUCAUUCCAUAGCAAGACCUUUCAGAUCUGUGACCCAUAUCAGUAGUAGAUCUUAUGCCUCACAGAGCCUGUUGCAAGGACUGGCGUCAGCUUCCAACACAGUACAGUGGACAUUCACUGUUUCCCCUUUCCAAACACACGACAAGAAACAGGAACAGAAAAGUCGACUCGUUCAUUUUACUUUUGGUAAAGAGCAACUUCUGGUGAAGAGUAAGUUUUAGGAGGUGAGCUUACUCUGCUUAACCUACGUCUUGCAUUGCCAGUUUGGUGUAUUAACAAAUGCGUGACUUGAGAGAUUAAAGAAAUGAAUUGAUAUUAUAGAUAGUUAAGAAAUCUGUAUAAUAUUGAAGAAACUUCAGAAAUAUGGUAUUCCCAGAUUUAAAAAAUAAUUAAGAGAAAGAGGUGAGGGGCAAAUAAGUGAAUGCGGUCUGUCAUAUCUGCUCCAUGGCUGCCUCAGCUCAGCUUACUCUGUAGCUUGGCUUCUAAAUGUCGAAAAUCUGUCUUGUCAUAUUUCAAGCUUUCUUUCAUCAGGGCAGUUAUAAGUACAUGCUAAAAAUACGCUGAGAAAAUCUGUUGAUUUUUUUGUGUGAUGCUUAAAGUCAAUUUUGUCAGCCCACGAACGCAGACAGUCACAUCAAUCAGACAGCAAUGCCCGGUAACUCUUCCCCAUACCCAGAACAAAAGACUGUUACCAUGAUUGCCACUUUCACUGUACAGCAGUAGCAGAACUGCAAAACCAAGGCUUAGAGUUGUACGGCUGUGCUACAGGCAGAGAGGGUUAUGUGUUCAUUGGACCUACAAAAAUACUUUGGUUUUGCAAAACUACACCAAAGACAUGGCCAGCCCCCAAGCCUUCCCCACAAAUCCAGCUUGAAAUACUGCUGUGCUGAGUACUAAUCUUCUGGAUCUACAUUAUUUAUGCUUCCUGUUGGGUAACUUAAUGUAGUGAUAAAUGAAACCACGUUGCUUGCUGUGUAUUAACAUAUGAUUUACUGAUUGGUCUUCUUAUAGACAUAGACUGCAGUCUCAAGGAAAAAGGAAGAAAUGAGCAAUCUCUAGGCUAAAAAUACAGAGUACGCAUUAGAAGGCAGUUUGUGUUUCUAGUGCAGUUUUCUUGAACAUUUUUCAUACCCUGGCCCAUGGGCAAUCUCUUUUAAUCAAUCUCUCUGUUCUGUACCCAGAAUCCUGUCUCUGGUUCCUUACCAGGUCAUUGAGGUGAAACCACUGGGGAACUUGAUGAUUCAAAAUGACUACGUGGUAUACAAUUUCGUCCUCUGUCACUUCAGUGUUUUGGUUUAUAUGCCUCUGGCUAAACAUAGCAAGUCCUGAGGUCCAGCAAAAUGGACCCAGGAUUUGCAUUCAUACAAGCAUGCAAUAUUAUGGCCAUUUGACGUAAUGGACAUACCUUGUCUGGUGUCUAAAGAGGACUAAUGGUUUUCCAUUUAGAUUCUGUAUUCUACUGUUUAAUAAUAAAUACACUCCUGACAUUGUUAAA